GCCCCCGUAGCUCAGCGGACAGAGCAGCCGCCUUCUAAGCGGUAGGUCGCAGGUUCAAGUCCUGCCGGGGGUG
rnacentral:tRNA from 2 species